rnacentral:rRNA from 1 species
UACGGAGGGUGCGAGCGUUGUUCGGAAUCACUGGGCGUAAAGCGCGUGUAGGCGGCCUGCUAAGUCUGAUGUGAAAGCCCGAGGCUCACCCUCGGAAGUGCAUUGGAAACUGGCAGACUGGAGUCCCGGAGAGGAGGGUGGAAUUCCUGGUGUAGCGGUGAAAUGCGUAGAUAUCAGGAGGAACACCAGUGGCGAAGGCGACUUUCUGGCCUGUUCUUGACGCUGAGGCGCGAAAGCUAGGGGAGCAAACGGG